UACGUAGGGGGGCAAGCGUUGUCCGGAAUUAUUGGGCGUAAAGCGCGUGUAGGCGGUCCGGUAAGUCGGCUGUGAAAGUCCAGGGCUCAACCCUGGGAUGCCGGUCGAUACUGCCGGACUAGAGUUCGGAAGAGGCGAGUGGAAUUCCCCGGUGUAGCGGGUGAAAUGCGCAGAUAUCGGGAGGAACACCAAUGGCGAAGGCAGCUCGCUGGGACGUUACUGACGCUGAGACGCGAAAGCGUGGGGAGCAAACAGG
rnacentral:rRNA from 1 species